GCUUAAAACUCUAAGGACUUGGCGGUGCCCCAAACCCACCUAGAGGAGCCUGUUCUAUAAUCGAUAAUCCACGAUUCACCCAACCACCCCUUGCCAGCACAGCCUACAUACCGCCGUCGCCAGCCCACCUCUAAUGAAAGAAC
rnacentral:rRNA from 1 species